rnacentral:rRNA from 1 species
CAGCAGCCGCGGGAAUACGAAGGGGGCUAGCGUUGUUCGGAAUCACUGGGCGUAAAGGGUGCGUAGGCGGGAUCUUAAGUCAGGGGUGAAAUCCCGAGGCUCAACCUCGGAACUGCCUUUGAUAUUGGGGUCCUUGAGUCCGGAAGAGGUGAGUGGAACUGCGAGUGUAGAGGUGAAAUUCGUAGAUAUUCGCAAGAACACCGGUGGCGAAGGCGGCUCACUGGUCCGGAACUGACGCUGAGGCACGACAGCGUGGGGAGCAAACAGGAUUAGAUACCCCCGUAGUCCCUGUCUCUUAUAC